rnacentral:lncRNA from 7 species
ACUGACUGUACCCUGUUUGAGGCAUUGCUUCAAAUUUAGUUUCUUUUUUGAGUCUGUCUUAAAAGCCACCUGCUCUUCUGUAGGUUUUAACAGCCUUGAGUUUUAUAAGCCAGUUCCAUCACUCUUCGGCACAUUCUCAUAAUCCAAACCACAAAAGCCUUCUGAUGACUAAGAGUUCUUUUUUGAAAUUUAUAUGACUGUUUAUGCUAUAUAUGAUCUAACUCAUCUUGAUGCAUCCUGCGAAGUCAGAUGUGUCCAGCUUGCACCUGAUUGACUGUGUGAAUUUUUUUGAUCUCUGCAUAUAUCCAGCUGAGCCUUCUGCUUUGCCAACAUCUAUAUUGCCUCAGUGUCACCUGAUGCUCUGGUCCAUGGUUGCAGUGCUGAGCUUUCAGUGCCUAAUGCUUUCCUGAGUCUAAGGCAUUUUUGAAUGCUUUAUGUACCCCAAACACACCAGGCAGUAUGGAAUCCUGGGCAGACUCAGGAGUGACAACUGUAAAUUAGCAACAAGCAGCAUUCAGACAGGCAGUUUUCUGUUGAAGAUGAGAUGCAGGAAAAUAUCCAGGGCUGAAAAGGAAAGAUAACUGAAUCAGAAGCAAAUAUUUCUUAGCGAACCCUUCAUAACUCAAAGAAGCUGGUGAGGAAGAAAGAAAAGAUUUUUCCUUUUGGACUGAUACUUCUUCCAUGAAGGUCUUCCUGCAGGUAGUAUAUCUGAAAGAAUAAAGAGGAACUGCAUGUGAGCAUUGUCUGGGAAAAAGGGUAAAUACUUACAUGUAAAUCAAGUCUCCAAAUUGGAGUACAAGUGAGAGAAGGUUAUCUAAGUGUUUCAUGGUUUCAUGCCUCUUUGUAUGUCUUUACAAUUACCUUUUAUACAAUAUCUUUCCUUCAACAUCGCAGGGAACUGGAUGGGAACCUAUCUCUGUCUCGAAUAAACCUGUAAAGUAAU